rnacentral:rRNA from 1 species
AUUGAACGCUGGCGGCAGGCUUAACACAUGCAAGUCGAACGAGUGGCGGACGGGUGAGUAAUGCUUGGGAAUCUAGCUUAUGGAGGGGGAUAACUACGGGAAACUGUAGCUAAUACCGCGUACCAUAGGAUGAGCCCAAGUGGGAUUAGGUAGUUGGUGAGGUAAAGGCUCACCAAGCCGACGAUCUCUAGCUGGUCUGAGAGGAUGACGGCCCACACGGGGACUGAGACACGGCCCAGAGUCCUACGGGAGGCAGAAGUGGAGAAUAUUGGGCAACGGGGGCAACCUGAUAGAGCCAUGCCGAGUGAAUGAGGAAGGCGUUGGGGUUGUAAAGUUCUUUCGGUAGCGAGGCGUUACCUGCAGAAGCAGCACCGGCUAAUUCCGUGCCAUCAGCCGCGGUAAUUC